rnacentral:tRNA from 1 species
GGGGUUUUAGCUCAGUCGGUAGAGCGCCUGUCUUGCACACAGGAGGUCAGCAGUUCGAAUCUGCUAAACUCCACCA